UGGCGUAGUGGUCACUGCGCUCGCCUUGCACGCGGGAGACCCGGGUUUGAUUCCCGG
rnacentral:tRNA from 1 species